AUGGACGGAAAGAAGAAGCCCACUGCUGCGACUGGGAGCUCCAUCGUCGACGACCUCUUCGGCCCCAAGGACGGCGCCGCCUCCUCCUCCGCGGGCUACUUCAGCACCGUCUUCCCAACUCCAUCCGGGGCGACGGGGAAAGAUGCGUCACUCCGGGCAGCAGCAGCAGCUGGGAAUAAAUCAUCGUCGGCAGGGCAUCAGCAGCAAGGAAAGCAGCACGGGGGGUCACCUGAGUCGCCUUACUUCGGCUCCUCUUCCGUCCACUAUGGCGGCCGGGACUUCUACGCCGGCGCCGAAUCUCAGCGGCAAUAUUCGGCCGCCGCUGCCGCACCGGCACCCAAGCACAAGGACGACGGCGACACGUCGGCAGCCACCCGGGGUGACUGGUGGCAAGGUUCCCUCUACUACUAG
rnacentral:rRNA from 1 species